GACGAACGCUGGCGGCGUGCUUAACACAUGCAAGUCGAACGGAAAGGCCUCUUUCGGGGGGUACUCGAGUGGCGAACGGGUGAGUAACACGUGAGUAACCUGCCCUUGACUUUGGGAUAACUUCAGGAAACUGGGGCUAAUACCGGAUAGGAGCUCCUGCUGCAUGGUGGGGGUUGGAGAGUUUCGGCGGGUGGGGGUGGACUCGCGGCUUAUCAGCUUGUUGGUGGGGUAGUGGCUUACCAAGGCUUUGACGGGUAGCCGGCCUGGGAGGGUGACCGGCCACAUUGGGGCUGAGGUACGGCCCAGACUCCUACGGGAGGCAGCAGUGGGGAAUAUUGCACAAUGGGUGGAAGCCUGAUGCAGCAACGCCGUGUGCGGGAUGACGGCCUUCGGGUUGUAAACCGCUUUCGCUCAUGACGAAGCUUUGUGUGACGGUAGUGGGUAAAGAAGCACCGGCUAACUACGUG
rnacentral:rRNA from 1 species